GACGAACGCUGGCGGCGUGCUUAACACAUGCAAGUCGAACGGUGACGAGGAGCUUGCUCCUCCGAUCAGUGGCGAACGGGUGAGUAACACGUGAGUAACCUGCCCCAGACUCUGGGAUAACAGUUGGAAACAGCUGCUAAUACCGGAUACGAGACGGAGAGGCAUCUCUACCGUCUGGAAAGUUUUUCGGUCUGGGAUGGACUCGCGGCCUAUCAGCUUGUUGGUGAGGUAAUGGCUCACCAAGGCGACGACGGGUAGCCGGCCUGAGAGGGCGACCGGCCACACUGGGACUGAGACACGGCCCAGACUCCUACGGGAGGCAGCAGUGGGGAAUAUUGCACAAUGGGCGAAAGCCUGAUGCAGCGACGCCGCGUGAGGGAUGACGGGCCUUCGGUUGGUAACCUACGUUUCUAGCAGGAAGGAAGACGAAAGUGACGGUAACCGUGCAGAAGAAGCACCGGCUAACACGUGCCAGCAGCGCGGUAAUGCUACGUAGA
rnacentral:rRNA from 1 species